rnacentral:rRNA from 1 species
CCAGACUCCUACGGGAGGCAGCAGUGGGGGAUAUUGCACAAUGGGGGGAACCCUGAUGCAGCGACGCCGCGUGGGUGAAGAAGCGCCUCGGCGCGUAAAGCCCUGUCAGCAGGGAAGAAAAUGACGGUACCUGAAGAGGAAGCCCCGGCUAACUACGUGCCAGCAGCCGCGGUAAUACGUAGGGGGCAAGCGUUAUCCGGAUUUACUGGGUGUAAAGGGAGCGUAGACGGCUGUGCAAGCCAGAUGUGAAAGCCCGGGGCUCAACCCCGGGACUGCAUUUGGAACUGCGUGGCUUGAGUGUCGGAGAGGCAGGCGGAAUUCCUAGUGUAGCGGUGAAAUGCGUAGAUAUUAGGAGGAACACCAGUGGCGAAGGCGGCUUACUGGACAGUAACUGACGUUGAGGCUCGAAAGCGUGGGGAGCAAACAGGAUUAGAUACCCGCGUA